CCUCCAAGCAAUCCACCGAAAAGACUAGAUCAAGAUGGAGGAAUUCUUCCAGCAACUAAAAACAAAUGGCAAUUUGACAUGGCAAAAUAUAAUGAAACCUUCACAUUGCUCAUCCUACUAUUAAUGGGGCCGAUCUAUUUCCACUUAAAAUUCACCUGAUUCAACCAAACAACCAUGGCAUUAACCAAACUUGGGCUCCUCCGGUGCCAUGGAGGGAUCAAUGCUGCUACUUCGAUAAUGCCUUGCUUCUAAAGAUGAUAAAGCUUUGCGCCCGUGCCUCGCUAUGAGCCAUGAAGUCCCUGUGCCGUGCCUCUGGGACUUUGAUCACCAAGGAAACGUGCAUUAGG
rnacentral:lncRNA from 1 species